ensembl:lncRNA
AUGACUAACUGGCGUUGGACGAACUUUGCAUUUCUAAUUGUUUUUCAUGUCUUGUCCAUGUCAACAGCAACGGGCAAUACAGACAACACACUUCUGAAUUUACAUGAUGGGAAAAGCUUGGACCAGAGUGUGCUGCACAGUGCUGUCCCUAAGCCCCAACGCUAUGACACCACGGUACCUCUCCUGCUGGAAGGGCGGCAGCGCAAACCACUCAGCCAGCUCAAGUCCAGGGUAAAUAUUCAUAAAGCGGCCACUUAGUGGCCUUGGCUAAUGCUAAUAAGCUGCUCCUACUAUAGAUCAGCCAAGCGCAGAUGCUAGCCUGCCUGCUCACUUGCAUCAGGUCUCCUGUGUUGUUCCAGUCGUGAGCUCCUAAUAAUUCCCCAUUUCUGUUUAUCCUCGGCUGAUUCCCCUUUGUGCUUUCUCCUCAAAGCUUGCUCCCUGCGGCGUUGAAUGGCCCCUCUGUUGUUUGUUUAGUAUGAGCUAGGCCCUGAGGCUCCACACACUGUGAAAUUAUUCCCCCAACUCGCCAGGCUCCUAUACUCUACAAAUCAGCAGUGCAUGAAAAGCAACAUUUUGAAAUGGUUUACCACUGGCAGAAGACUGCCUUUUCCCCCCUAAACUGUCUGGUUUUGUAACAAAGUCAGGUAGCAACCGGAUUUGAAACCAUCUAACAAUUGUGCUAAAAUGCAUUGGAAGGGUGAGCGUAGUUGCGGAUGGCUAGCAAAUGCACCCUAACACUUGUUAUCCUUGACAUACCAGAACUGUAAGCAAAGAUAUACAAGACCUAUUAGACUUUCUUUCUAUGAACCAUGUGUAAUGCCUGAAAUCCAUUGAGUUAUUAAAACCAGGUAAAUCAGCACAUUUAAUCUCUGCUAUUACAUGGGGUCUCUAACCAAUUAAGCAUGUUCUGCAUGCUGGUUUUAGGGUAUAUUAGGGUAGCUUCAGACGGGGAAACCCGAUGCGUUCAGCCCACUAGGACUUGGGCAGAGAAAUACAUUUUUGAAAUCCGGGAUCCCCCACCUUCACCAUAGGGAAACCAUUCCCGACAAGGGAAACGCGUGGGUGUUGAGUAGUACUCCCAGAAUAUUUAAAACAGCCAUGGCUUUCCAAGAUUUAUCCCUCAGAUUAUACAUGAGUGGAUAGAUUUUUCCUAGCUGGAGGAAAUACCACACCCUCUGAGGGGGUGUUUUUUUUCUAUGUUAGUGUCUCAAUUACACACUCUCCCUGAAUGCUGAGCUUGUGCUUUACUUGGCUGACAUGGGGAGGGUAUUAGCAAAUCAACAAAAUCUCUGAAAUGAGAAGGAGUCAUGAGAGCUGCCAGUGAUGCACCAGUAAUUCAUCAGAAUGUGUUAUAUUAUAGCUUUGUCUGGAACAAUGAAGAGAUUCUAGUUAUUUAGUUAGGACAGAAUUUUGGUGAAAGUUAAUUAAAUUUUAUUAGAGAGGUAUUCCAUUGUCAUGACACUACAUAAUCAAUUGAGUUUGACAACAAUGUGUAUUUGUAUAGCUCACGAGCCAGCUGUUAUAGCCAUGUUGACCAUUCCAACAUAUUAUUGAGUUUAACAAUGAUUGAGUUGGUUAUUUUAUCAGAGAUGAUACCAAACUCAUUUUUCCUUCCACCCCUUUAGUUUUUCUUGAACUGUUCUCGGUGCCACAAGAAGUAGCAAGCCAAUAUCUUGGUGGUGGUGAGUCAGGACAAUUGGGUAAUGACCUGACAUGAACCGCCCUGACUUCUAAACCACAAAUGGACCCACAAACUAUACAACUCUAUGCACAAGGACUACUUUUAACAAUUUCUACUGAACAUUUUACAAAAACACGUUCACUUGAAGACCAGUGCAGAUACAACAUUUGUAACAGAACGACGGCACCAACAGCACAAACCGUCAUUUGAUUACCAAACUUUACAUCUGCACAGUUCAAGUAAAUAUGUUUUUGUAAACUUUUCUGUGGACAUUGUUAAAUAGUGUUGUAUGGUUUGUUUAGCUUUGCAGUCUUUGGUUUUUGUUUGGCAUACAUUUUAAAGUGAAAAAUAUGAGUCUCAGUAUCACUCUGUUACGAUGGAUUUGCCCUUAUCUGACUGGGACAAAAUACUGGUUGUUCUGUCUCUGCCUGUCUAUCUUUAUCUCUGCCUGUCUAUCUUUAUCUCUGCCUGUCUGUCUAUCUUCAUCUCUCAAGGUGCCGCCAAAAUGCCUGGCUGCUUGUCUGUGUACCUGCUUCUACGUGGGUAGUAAAAUAGUUCAAAUGACAACAUGACCUUUUCCUAGCAGGAGGCUCUCCAUCCCUGUGUGUGUGUGUGUGUGUGUGUGUGUGUGUGUGUGUGUGUGUGUGUGUGUGUGUGUGUGUGUGUGUGUGUGUGAUACAGUAUCUGAUCGCCUGUCAUAAACUGUGCGACAGACAGAGAUCCCCAGCUGCUGUCAAGCCCCCCUUUUCCCAUGGGCCAGUUCGGUCAUAGCUCAUGAGUGUUAAAAAGGCAGGAGGUCUGGGGAAAUUAGUGUCAGGGUCAGAACUCAUGAGUGUUAAAAAGGCAGGAGGUCUGGGGAAAUUAGUGUCAGGGUCAUAACUCAUGAGUGUUAAAAAGGCAGGAGGUCUGGGGAAAUUAGUGUCAGGGUCAUAACUCAUGAGUGUUAAAAAGGCAGGAGGUCUGGGGAAAUUAGUGUCAGUCAGCACUGAAAUAUGCAGACAAUCAUCAAAAUGUUGUUCUUGCACUCAAGGAACAACACUGCUUGCUCUGCAAAAACAGAAAUGUUUUUGCUGUUGAUUUUUGACCAACAUCAACCUGACAUGGUAGAUUAUUGCUGUAGACCUAAAGUGGAUUUUUUAAAUUUCAUGUUCAACAUUAGAUCAUUUUUUACAUUACUGUUGAUCUUUUAUAAACGUCUCUAAUUUUCUGAAUGAACAGAGUCCAGUUUUUAACCUAACUAUGGGAAAUCAUGAAAGGUACUAACGGAGGUGUCUAUGACCUGGUCAUCCUCGGAUGGAGAAUUAGUAACGGAGAGGCACCAUACAUACACUAAAUCAGAUCAAAUGUUAUUAGUCACAUGCUCCGAAUACAACAGGCGUAGGUAGACCUUACAGUGAAAUGCUUACUUAACUAACAGUGCAGUUUCAAAAAAUAUGGAGAAGAAUAAGAGAUAAAUGUAACAAGUAAUCAAAGAGGAGCAGCAAAAAAUAACAAUAUAUACAGGGGGGUGCCGGUACAGAGUCUAUGUGCGGGGGCACCGGUUAGUUGAGGUAGUGUCUACAGUUGAAGUCGGAAGUUUACAUUUGUUGUCCUUAAGCCAUUUUGCCACAACUUUGGAAGUAUGCUUGGGGUCAUUGUCCAUUUGGAAGACCCAUUUGCGACCAAGCUCUAAC